CGGACGGCUCAGUAACACGUAGUCAACCUAACUCGUGGACGUGGAUAACCUCGGGAAACUGAGAAUAAACCACGAUAGAUCAUAAUGCCUGGAAUGGCUUAUGGUCCAAACAGUUUACUGCCAUGGGAUGGGACUGCGGCCUAUCAGCUUGUUGGUGAGGUAAUGGCCCACCAAGGCGAUUACAGGUACGGGCUCUGAGAGGAGAAGCCCGGAGAUGGGUACUGAGACACGGACCCAGGCCCUAUGGGGCGCAGCAGGCGAGAAACCUUAGCAAUGUGCGAAAGCACGACUGGGUCAGUCCGAGUGAUUCCUGAUAAAGGAGUCUUUUGCUUGUCCUAAAAGCACAGGUGAAUAAGGGGUGGGCAAGUCUGGUGUCAGCCGCCGCGGUAAUACCAGCACCUCGAGUGGUCAGGACGUUUAUUGGGCCUAAAGCAUCCGUAGCCGGCUCUGCAAGUCUUCGGUUAAAUCCACCCGCUCAACAGAUGGGCCGCUGGAGAUACUACAGAGCUAGGGAGUGGGAGAGGCAGACGGUAUUCAGUGGGUAGGGGUAAAAUCCUCUGAUCCAUUGAGGACCACCAGUGGCGAAGGCGGUCUGCCAGAACACGUUCGACGGUGAGGGAUGAAAGCUGGGGGAGCAAACC
rnacentral:rRNA from 1 species